UACGUAGGGUGCGAGCGUUGUCCGGAAUUAUUGGGCGUAAAGGGCUCGUAGGCGGUUUGUCGCGUCGGGAGUGAAAACCAGGUGCUUAACACCUGGCUUGCUUUCGAUACGGGCAGACUAGAGGUAUUCAGGGGAGAAUGGAAUUCCUGGUGUAGCGGUGAAAUGCGCAGAUAUCAGGAGGAACACCGGUGGCGAAGGCGGUUCUCUGGGCAUUACCUGACGCUGAGGAGCGAAAGCAUGGGGAGCGAACAGG
rnacentral:rRNA from 1 species